AGUGAACGCUGGCGGUAGGCCUAACACAUGCAAGUCGAACGGCAGCACAGUAAGAGCUUGCUCUUACGAGUGGCGAGUGGCGGACGGGUGAGGAAUACAUCGGAAUCUACUUUUUCGUGGGGGAUAACGUAGGGAAACUUACGCUAAUACCGCAUACGACCUACGGGUGAAAGCAGGGGAUCUUCGGACCUUGCGCGAUUGAAUGAGCCGAUGUCGGGUUAGCUAGUUGGCGGGGUAAAGGCCCACCAAGGCGACGAUCCGUAGCUGGUCUGAGAGGAUGAUCAGCCACACUGGAACUGAGACACGGUCCAGACUCCUACGGGAGGCAGCAGUGGGGAAUAUUGGACAAUGGGCGCAAGCCUGAUCCAGCCAUACCGCGUGGGUGAAGAAGGCCUUCGGGUUGUAAAGCCCUUUUGUUGGGAAAGAAAAGCAGCAGGUUAAUACCCCGCUGUUCUGACGGUACCCAAAGAAUAAGCACCGGCUAACUUCGUG
rnacentral:rRNA from 1 species